UCUCGCCGACCACCUCGUUGCCGACGAUGGAGAUGCUGCUCCCGUCGUACUUGCCGGUGGUGAACACAAAGUUUAACAUAUAGAGGUACGCGGAUGGGCUUUCUAUGGACGCCUGCACCGUGAGAUCGUACGUCCUCCCGAUGAGCAUCGAGCUCGACUCGGGCCCUUCCUUCAGGAUGUUGUUGCCCACCCAGAUGCUCCCAAAGGUACCGUUGCCGGGGGUGCUGACGACAGUGACGGUGGUCUCGUUGGGGCCGCCGUAGCAGACGUGAAACUACAAGUGCAGGUGGGUCAUCUUCUUCUCGGGGUCAUCGCUGCUGGCAGUGGCAACAGCGGCAAAGAGGAAGAGGAGGAGGAGCAGAGGGAGGGAUGAGAGAAGCUUAUGCAGGGGUGAACGAACCCACAUAUGGGUGGCUGGAGAGACAUGAGAGGUUUGUUGGGCUUUUAUAAGUAAAGGAGUUGGUAGAACAGUGUUCUGUUUUCAUGCUUAUAAAUGUGUUAAGACAUGUGUUUUUGCUUAAUUCGAACUGAUACUUGUGUCAAACUAUUAGAGUAAAAUAAAAAGAAAAUAAGACUAUAUAAAAAUUUUAUUAAAAAAAAAAUGCAUUAGUCUAGAUUUUUUAUGUUUUUGUGAGAAAGAAAAGAAAACCUUUUGAAUAUGUUAAUCGUAAAAACUUUGAUAGUAUAUGACAGGUCUUAGCUUGAAUUUUAUCGGGGCACUUAUCAAUUAUACUAAAAAAUCAAAACAGAAUCUUUAUGAUAUGUGACAAAAGAUAAUAUAAAUAUGUAUAUGCUAGAGAUAAAAAUAAAAAAUACUUAAUAUAGGCACCGUUAAAACAUAUUCAAACUUGAAUGAUAGAUCGUCUCUAAUCUUCCACAUAAUGAGUCAUUUGACUAAACAAGUCAUGAAGUGGACGGAUGAUUCAUCAGCUUUGACUGUUACGUGACAAGGAAAAACUCGUGGCCAAGAAGAUUUAUAUUCAACAUAGACAAAAUGUCCAUAAUGAAAGAGAUAACAUACAAGAUAGCAACACUCGAUCGUCCCAUUCAAAAGCUAUUCAUGCUAAACUCAGCGAGUAGAAUGCAUUUUAGUCAAACUGCAAUCACCGAAGCAGAAACAAUUCACAGCUUUGUGCACUGAUGCAUCAGGGGGUCGACAGAAGUGAAAGAUCGGAGGCAUCCAAAGCUUACAUCUUUGAUUCACUGCAACCUUUUGUAACAGCUCAUCCUACUCUCAAAUGGAGGCAUGCAAGACCGAGAUGGACGGAAUCAGCAGCAUAUAGCUAGCUGAAUGGCAACACCUGCAGAAAUGAAACUGUCGAAGGUUGAAGGACUGACGGAUGGCGUUGGAGGCGGCGUUUCUCUUACUCUAUUGUUGUUGACUAGUCCUGCGAAGUAGGAGGAGACUUGGAAGAGCAAUCGAUUUUUAAUUAAUAUUCACAUCCGAUAAAAUUGGAAUCAUACUGAGAAAAUUAGGAUGAUCCUUGUGCAUACACAUUCGAUAUUCUUAUCCAAUAAAAUUGGAAUCAUACAGAAGCAAAUUGAGCAAAUUUGAGAAAAUUGUAAUCAUUCGACUGUAUGAUGAACUGAAGAAGCAAAUUUAUGUUGGAGUUCCAAAACUUGAACACGUGCCUUCUGGCUUUGACUGGCUGAAAGAUGCCUCCUCAAAUCUAUUCAUGAUUGUGACCACAGGAGGAAUAAUGGUUGCUGAAAUUUAAAUUAAAAGUUUUUACUAAUUGCUGCAUAUAAGAUUAAGAUUUCAGGUUCAUAUAGCAAUCAUGUGCAUGCAUGCAAGAUUAACUUUUUUGACUUUACAGAUUGAUUAAUUUAUUUAAAUCUUAUUUUAUUGUCUAUUUUACUAUUGUCCUAAUGAUUUAUGGAAAAGUUUGGUGAUCCCUUAACGGAUGACCAUCUAUUUCAUAGAAAAUGCAUAUUAGAAAAACAAUGGAAGUAAAUUUUAGAGGCCUUUCACUGCCUGUGGCUUUAGUUACCAGAUUCUCAAUUACAUCAAUAGAUUCCCAUAAAUUUUGCUAGCCAAUCAUAAACCUGUUUGGCUUUUCGGUUUCUCCUCAGCCAUCCCAUCAUUAGCUAAUUCACAAGGCUACGUUAUCUUGCUUUUCCCAUUCACGUACGCAUGCAAGUCAAUUCUAGAAACCAUUAAAAGUUAGAAUAUGUCACACAAGGGCAUCAAACAAAUUCCAAGGUAAUGUCAGCUCUGAUUCAAAUAUGUUUAAGUGGCUAAUGACUGCUGAGCUGUUCCACGACUGAUAUAUCAGUCAACUACGUAUUAUCAUUUUUAUGGUUGAUGUGGUAAAAUUGGUAAAAACAAAAUUGCCUUCUGGUUGUAAUGGUAUAGUCACAUGAGAAGAAGAAAUCUUACCUAUUAGCCAUAAUAAUUCGUAAUAUAUCCUCUAGGAUUGUUAUAUUGUGCAUUGUUCUCAUGCGGCAAUAUGAUCUGCAUACGUUCAAUCGCCAUGAGCUUCGAGCUCCAAUCGGGGCCUUUCCGGAGCAAGUCAUCGAUGAUGCCGAUCUCGCCAUAGUGGUGGAGAUCUUGCUCGCACACCUACAAAAUCUCAACAUGCAUAAAUCCAAUUUCUUCACUUGUUUUAUCACUGUAAUCUUAUAAAAAUAUUUUAACAUAUUUAUUAUAAUAAGCCAAUAUGUAGUGAUGGUGUCAUGAGUAUCAUCGACUGAUGAGUUUGGUCUACUGUUGAAUGUGUCUCUUUUUUGCUGACGUGGGGAGACUUAGUAAGGUGAGACCGCAUAAGUUACCCAUUCAGAAUCCAUUUUGUUAGUGAGAACCCGAUUUGAGAUAGUCGGGUAGGUGGACUGGGAUCUUUCUAGUUAUAAAAAUCUUCCCUGGGGGUUGGGUCAUCCGGGUGUCUUCGGGCAACCGACGAUCCUAUAUGACAGGCUGACGUCAAGGGUUGCUCGGCAUGACCUCUAUAGGGAAAUCCGAGGGUGAUAUCAUAUGCGCAAUGGAAUAACAUAAAACAAAAUUCUUAAAUUUCCCAAAAAGUAUUUUUCAUUAUGCGAAGAUUGGUGCACAAAAACUUGUGAAACUGAAAACUACAUGUGAGAUUGUUGUGUUACCUAGGGAGAUCAUAUAUCCCUGAAUUUUUAUAGAUCGAUAAGAGAGGAUGAAGGAGGUCAACCACUCUUUUCUCUAGCAAUGAUCCACAUGACAGGGCUAUGAAGACGCUCCUUAAAUUACUAGUCAUAGGUGCCCUACAAGUCAAUCAGGUGAGUGAUAACACGUGUGACUUGACACACAGUUUUUUUAUUUAUUAUAUUUUGACAUUUAUCACUGCUUGUUGUAUAUAUAUAUAUAUAUAUAUAUAUAUAUAUAUAUAUAUAUAUAUAUANNNNNNNNNNNNNNNNNNNNNNNNNNNNNNNNNNNNNNNNNNNNNNNNNNNNNNNNNNNNNNNNNNNUUUUUUUAUAUUUUUAUAUAUAUAUAUAUAUAUAUAUAUAUAUAUAUAUAUAUAUAUAUAUAUAUAUAUAUAUAUAUAUAUUGUGAUGUCCUUGGAUCUGUGCAAUGAGAUCGAUUCGCCUUUAAACACAGAUCCUAAAUAAUCUCGAUCAUAGGUUUCUCGAGAGGGACAUCGAGAUAGUCGGACAGAAUGGUGUGUUAUAUACCCGUCCAUAUGAUAGAUGCAACUAGUCUCAUAACUGCUCAUGUGAGAAUACUAGGGAUACAAUACAGAUGUCCAUUGAGGAAUGAGUUCACUAAUUGAUAUGCUUAUGAAAUGCUGAAUGGUUGAUGAUGCCUUAUUGUUAGAUAGCGAUUCCAUAGUCCUAGUGGUGUAUCUAGUCCUUAGACUUGAGACACCAAGGAUGUCAUGUAUGAGUGCUCCACUCUUUGAUACCGGACUUAUAGGUUUAGAUGUCCCAGAUCUAACAUAGCUGGUUAUCGAGAGUGGUAGUCAACCUUACGAAGGCUAUUAAGUAUCGAUAGAGGAUCAUUCACUCUCGAUAUCAUGAGAGGAAUGUUUCAUGUAUUCUUGCUCAAACAAAUCCUUAGCUAGGGUCAUUCGGAUUGAGAGAGAAAGAGUUCUCCGGGAGAAUCUGAUUAGAGUGAGACUCGAGUAGAAACCGUAUGGGUCUAACAGCACUAUGCCCGGUAUAUGGUCUUUUGGAUAUUAAAUAGAUGAGGGACUAUAGGUACACGUUUUCUCCUCUUUAUUGUUGUCAAGCUCUCUACGUUGCUGCCCUUUUAUAACCUUUUUCUGCCUCUAAAACGCAGCCACCCACACCCCCCAAUGUUAAUUAGGGUUAGGUUAAGAGGGGGUGAGAUGUGGGCUGAUAAAGUCCACAUUGGGCUAAAUAUGGGCUAUCAGCUCAACAAACACUGCAAAACAAAAUAAUUUUAUUAGAAAUCACGAUAAGAGAAUAAUAAGAAUUGGAACAAGUUGUUUUUCUUUUUGUCUUGUAAAUUCUGUAUUCAUCUCUUUUUUUUUUUCGUUUAGGUCCUUACUAUUUUUUAUUUCAGUAAUAGGUGAGUUUAUUGGUCAUAUACUUGAUAGAUUAUUUUAGAAAAUAAUAUAUUAAGUGAGUUAUGAAAAUAAAAUAUAGACAUAUAAAUUUUUAAAUUAAAUAAAUUAUAACUAUGUAUGAUCAUAUGCAUAGAUAUUUCAAUUAUACCUGUGGGUAUAAGUAUCUAUGGAGACGUACCUCUAGUGGGAUGAGGACGGAGAAUGAAUAGAGAUGAGAGAUAUUCUUUUAUUAUUUACACAGUUGUGAGGCAAGGAUCGAUAUAAUACUCCUCACUUUGUCCCCUCCGUUAAAAUGUAAGUCGAAAUGUUAGGAUUAGACGUUGGGCGAGCCAAUAGCCCACCUGAUUCAACUAAGGCUGAGUUGAGUCAAUUAGGAGCCAUUUGGUUUAAUUGAAUCAUAUAAUAAAAUAUCAAAAAAUAUUAAUAUUUAUAUUUAGAUAUAUUUGAAGUUAAAAAUUAUUAUGAUAUUUAAAUUUUAAAAUUAUUAUUAUUAUUUAUAAAAAAAAUAUUGUUGAUUAAUUUUAAUAAUAAAUUUAUUUUUAAAAUAAAAAUAAAUUAAUUAGUAUAAUAUAGAAUACCCUUGCUCCAUUUAAAUGAGGAAUGAGAUUAAGAUUGGAGAUGAGAGAUGAGAUUAGGUUGUAACGGGAAUCCCCAUGUCCCGUUGACAUCCCCUUGUCCCAUUAACAUCCCUGCACAUAUAUGAGAUAUAAUCUUUUAAUAGUUACAAGGAGAUAGGCCAAACGUGUUUUAUUAAUCAUUUGAUAGAAAUUGGUACAUCAUUUGUCAGUAGCAAACCCAAUGGCUGAUUUCUAUCAACUGAAAUAAAAGCGAUCAUUAUAGAAUAGGCUCUAAAGCAAGCCAUCCAGAACUUGUCAAUGCCCGCACCCAAUGAUGCCUUGUUGUUGAUGUUUAGCGCCAAGAGGAAGGUCGGACUCUCCAAGGAUGUGGGCAUAGUGAGCUCCUACGCUUUCUCGAUGAGCUUGGAGCUCGACUUAGGCCUUACCCUCAUAAUGUUUUUCCCACCCUGAUGCUUCCGAUAGUGACGGUGGGAGGGCUAACCAUGGUGACGAUGGUCACGUUCGAGCUAUCGUAGUAGUCGUAAAAAUAGAAGUGCGGUUAGGUCUUCUUCCCUUUUGUAUUUAUGACUGUCGUUCUCAAUAGCAAUAAUGUCAAAAGAAAAAAAAUGACAAAAGGAAAAAAAAAAAGGAGAAUGAAGGAUAGAGAUGAGGUCACAAAAAAGUUUUUUUAAUUAAAUUGAUAGUACUAAAUUCAUCAAAAAUAUUAUAUCAUAUUUAGAUCAAAACAUAACAUGGUGCAUGCAAGGCAUAACCUAAGAUCCACACCUUAUGAAUAAUUUGACUUCAUCCGUGAGUAAUUACUUCCCAUCUGACGAGCUAAUCAACUUUAUUUAUCUUAAAUUAUUAACUAAAAUAUUUAUAUUUAAAUUAUUAGUAGUAUAUCUAUUAGAUUCUUAUAGGUCAUCUUAUCCAUUUUCGUUAUAAAGAAUGAUCGUAGAAAACAAAAUGAAUACAAAAAAGAAAAAACUAUGGAACAUGACGUUCAACAGCAUGAGGGGGCCAAAGAGGUUUUCGUAUGGAGAACUCGUCACCACAACAAGAAGACACUUCUCCGGGGAGAAAAGGGGAUAACUUGGUCGGUCGACAAAGGUUACUUGAAGGAGGUGCUUGAUGUGACAAGAUUUCCAUGGGAUGAAAAUAGGGAAGGAAAGAAAACACGUCCAGGAUAAGACCAUUAGCCGUUGGGUGAUCGAAACCUCGAGCAGUUCAUCGGUUGGUGCCACAGCAGGUGUUGCUCAUCUACUGGUUCAUGCCCAACGGAAGCCUCGACUGCUACUUCUAUAGCACCAUGAAGCACUUUGAGUGGUCUGUGAGGCAUGAUGGAGAUGAGGCCAUGCAAGAGCUUCUGCAGGUGGAUGGAUGAUUGGGUGGCGAGGCAUGAGGGUUUUGUGGGCUUUUAUGGACAAAGAAGUACAAGUACGCACAACAGUGUUUUUUUAUCGUUCAAAAUCACAUGCGAAUCUGCUUCAAUUCCACCUCAAUUCAUUUGACAAGUCAAAACCUCAUGAUUUUUGGGCAGAUUAAAUAAAUUAAUAAUACACAACAUAUAUAUCUUCUUGUCCAAGAGAUUUUGUUAGGAAACUUCUUGUGGGAGAAGUGCAUAUUUGGCCCUUCAUAUUAUUAUUAUUAUUAUUUACAUUGACAACGUGUCAUCCUUAAGUGUGAGAUCUUCUUCUAAACCUCACAUCUAUCAAUUCAUAAGAUUAUAUUAUUCUUGCUUUGAGCGAUCCACUAUUAACCAUAAAAAUUUGGGAAGGCCUAAUUUAUUAAUCUUUUUUUUUUUUUUAAAUAUGAAGAAGUUAUCAUGGAAUAUAACUUCGUAGAAAAAUUGGGAUCAAGAAAUGACUUAUUGUGAUGAAAAAUUAAAAAAAAUCUUUAAUUUUGUUUUCUUUUAUCUUUUAUAUUAUUUAUUUAAUUUUAUUUAAUUUUAAUUUUCUCUGGCUUCUCUGUUGUUGUUGUUGUGGUGGCACUCCAAGAACAAAGUACUGAUGUGGAUUGACAGCACUGGAAGAUUAAAAUCCGAUGUAUAAAUGUCUGAUUCGCUGCAGCUUCCUCUACAUGUCACUCUCCUUCAAGUGGAAGCAACAAUUAAUUGCUCAUAUUCGAAAAGCUAUUCCAAGUCUACUAUCAUAUAAAUAUUGCUCCUUUCGACUUAUUUCAAUUUUUUUCCACUGCAUCCGGAUAUGACAAAAUAUAAGUAUCAUGUUGCACUGCGUUACAAAACAAAGCAUUAUAAUUGUCAGUCACCGUAUGGCUGACGAACUAACAAAGUGUAGAUGUAGAACAAGAAACAAGCCGGUUUUAUUGCAAGAGAGAGGCAGCUCAUCAGUGGUGAUAGAUAUAAGAAUCGUGCUCGUAUACAAGAAACAAUUCGGUGGUUCCGGUUGAGCUGAUGAGCCUGCUGAUAGUGUAGCCCCAUGCCAUUCGAAAUUUGCCGGUCCCUCCGACGAUGGUUCGCUCCAUCGUCUCGCCGACCACCUCCUUGCCGACGAUGGAGAUGCUGCUCCCGUUAUACUCGCCGGAGGUGAACACGAAGUUUAACAUAUAUAGGUACGCCGACGGGCUUUCUAUGGACGCCUGCACGGUAAGAUCGUACGUCCUUCCGAUGAGCAUCGAGCUCGACUCGGGCCCUUCCUUCAGGAUGUUGUUGCCCACCGCGAUGCUCCCGAAGGUGCUGCUGCCGGGGGGGCUGACGACGGUGACGGUGGUCGCGUUGGGGCCGCCGUAGUAGACGUGAAAGUAGAAGUGCAGGUGGGUCAUCUUCUCCUUGGGUUCAUCGCUGCUGGCAGGGGCAACAGCGGCAAAGAGGAAGAGGAGGAGGAGAAGAGGGAGGGAUGGAGAUGGGGCCAUGGAGAAGCUUAUGCAGGGGUGAACAGAUAGAUGUAUGGGUGGAU
rnacentral:lncRNA from 1 species